UCCCUGAUGGCUCAGAGGGUAAAGCGUCUGCCUGCAAAGCAGGAGACCUGGGUUGAUCCCUGGGUCAGGAAG
rnacentral:tRNA from 1 species